rnacentral:rRNA from 1 species
CCUACGGGAGGCAGCAGUGGGGAAUAUUGCACAAUGGGGGGAACCCUGAUGCAGCAAUGCCGCGUGAAGGAUGAAGGUUUUCGGAUUGUAAACUUCUUUUGUACGGGACGAAGAAAGUGACGGUACCGUAAGAAUAAGCCACGGCUAACUACGUGCCAGCAGCCGCGGUAAUACGUAGGUGGCAAGCGUUAUCCGGAUUUACUGGGUGUAAAGGGCGAGUAGGCGGGAUUGCAAGUCAGAUGUGAAAACUAUGGGCUCAACCGAUAGAGUGCAUUUGAAACUGGCUGUCUUGAGAUGUCGAGAGGUAUGCGGAAUGCGCAGUGUAGCGGUGAAAUGCUUAGAUAUUGCGCAGAACUCCGAUUGCGAAGGCAGCAUACCGGCGGCGAUCUGACGCUGAGGCACGAAAGCGUGGGUAUCGAACAGGAUUAGAUACCCUAGUAGUC